AGAGUUUGAUCCUGGCUCAGGAUGAACGCUGGCGGUAUGCUUAACACAUGCAAGUCGAACGAAGUGCUUCGGCACUUAGUGGCGGACGGGUGAGUAACGCGUGAGAAUCUGCCUUGAGGACUGGGACAACAGCUGGAAACGGCUGCUAAUACCAGAUAUGCAAGUAAGUGAAACGGGGCAACCCGCCUUGAGAUGAGCUCGCGUCUGAUUAGCUAGUUGGUGGGGUAAGAGCCCACCAAGGCUGCGAUCAGUAACUGGUCUGAGAGGAUGACCAGUCACACUGGGACUGAGACACGGCCCAGACUCCUACGGGAGGCAGCAGUGGGGAAUUUUCCGCAAUGGGCGAAAGCCUGACGGAGCAAGACCGCGUGAGGGAGGAAGGCUCUUGGGUUGUAAACCUCUUUUGUCAGGGAAGAACACAAUGACGGUACCUGAAGAAUCAGCAUCGGCUAACUCCGUGCCAGCAGCCGCGGUAAUACGGAGGAUGCAAGCGUUAUCCGGAAUUAUUGGGCGUAAAGCGUCCGCAGGUGGCUGAUCAAGUCUGCGGUCAAAGACCGGGGCUUAACCCUGGAAAGGCCGUGGAAACUGAUCAAGCUAGAGUACCGUAGGGGUAGAGGGAAUUCCCGGUGUAGCGGUGAAAUGCGUAGAGAUCGGGAAGAACAUCGGUGGCGAAAGCGCUCUACUGGACGGUGACUGACACUCAGGGACGAAAGCUAGGGGAGCGAAUGGGAUUAGAUACCCCCGUAGUCC
rnacentral:rRNA from 1 species